UACGUAGGGUCCGAGCGUUGUCCGGAAUUAUUGGGCGUAAAGGGCUCAGGCGGUCUGUUGCGUCGGGAGUGAAAACUUACAGCUUAACUGUGAGCGUGCUUUCGAUACGGGCAGACUUGAGGCAUUCAGGGGAGAACGGAAUUCCUGGUGUAGCGGUGAAAUGCGCAGAUAUCAGGAGGAACACCGGUGGCGAAGGCGGCCUUCUGGACGAUGACUGACGCUGAGACGCGAAAUCGUGGGGAGCAAACAGG
rnacentral:rRNA from 1 species